GAACAGAUGGUGGAGCGGUGAAAUGCGUUGAUAUCAUCAGGAACACCGGAGGCGAAGGCGGCUCACUGGGUCUUUUCUGACGCUGAGGAACGAAAGCUAGGGUAGCGAACGGGAUUAGAUACCCCGGUAGUCCUAGCCGUAAACGAUGAGCACUGGGCCGGAGACCUGCACAGGUUUUCGGCCGUAGCGAAAGUGUUAAGUGCUCCGCCUGGGGAGUAUGGUCGCAAGGCUAAAACUCAAAGGAAUUGACGGGGGCUCACACAAGCGGUGGAGGAUGUGGCUUAAUUCGAGUCUACGCGAAGAACCUUAUCCUAGUCUUGACAUGCUUAGGAAUCUCUCCGAAAGGAGGGAGUGCCCGCAAGGGAGCCUUUGCACAGCUGCUGCAUGG
rnacentral:rRNA from 1 species